AUUCUGGCUCAGGAUGAACGCUAGCGGCAGGCUUAACACAUGCAAGUCGAGGGGCAUCGGGAGUAGCAAUACUGCCGGCGACCGGCGCAAGGGUGCGUAACGCGUGAGCAACAUGCCCGUAUCAGGGGGGAUAAUCCAUGGAAACGUGGUCUAAUACCCCAUAGUAAUUAUGUAAGGCAUCUUAUAUAAUUUAAAGCUUUGGUGGAUACGGAUUGGCUCGCGUGACAUUAGCUGGAUGGUAAGGUAACGGCUUACCAUGGCUACGAUGUCUAGGGGUUCUGAGAGGAAGGUCCCCCACACUGGAACUGAGACACGGUCCAGACUCCUACGGGAGGCAGCAGUGAGGAAUAUUGGACAAUGGAUGGAAAUCUGAUCCAGCCAUGCCGCGUGCAAGGAAGACGGCCCUAUGGGUUGUAAACUGCUUUUGUAUGGGAGCAAUAAGGGCUACGUGUAGUCCGAUGAGAGUACCAUACGAAUAAGCACCGGCUAACUCCGUGCCAGCCGCGGC
rnacentral:rRNA from 1 species